AAACCAGUUAGACGGUGUCAGUAAAACUAGACGGCUCUAUUUUGUGUCGAGGGGAAAAUAAACCAUUUCAGGAGUAAAAACACAGGUUUGAUUUAACACACCGAUGUUGGAGUGAAGUAAACGUGUGUCCUGCUGUAAUCUGGAGGAGACAUGACCUCCAACAUGAGUGUGUCUGGAGACCAGGACUUAAAGAAAGACGAGAGAAUGAUGGAGGGAAAGAGAUCAGACUCACCAGAAUCCAGCUGUGUGUCCAUGAAGAGUGACCGGUCAGUGGGUGUUCCACUUAACUUCAGAGACGGAGCCAGUUCUCCUGAUAUGAGACCACAAAAGAAGAAAUCAAACAUCUGCAGAAAUCAGCUGGACUCCAUAUUCAGGUGUGUGUGUCUUUUUAAUGUGUGUAACUUGUGUGUGAGUAGGUUGCUGUGGUAAUAGAAAGAGACCUUUCUUCUUUUCAUAAAAUAAAAGCAUCUCUCAAUGUGUAACAUUCUAAUAUUUAGAUGUGUUCCUGUGUGUUUCUAAACAGGAGCUGGAACACAAAGUCAUCACUCUGAUAAAGAAUGAAUUGAAGAGGUUUAGGAAGCUCCUGAGUCCAGAUUACCCAGCAUGCUCUGAGAGGGAGGUGGAGGAUGAGGAGGAUCUGCACAGUGUCAGAGAG
ensembl:lncRNA